rnacentral:piRNA from 1 species
UGCAGAACCUACAGCAUUUGCGAUGACGG